AGAGUUUGAUCCUGGCUCAGGAUGAACGCUAGCUACAGGCCUAACACAUGCAAGUCGAGGGGCAGCAUGUCGGUAGCUUGCUACCGGCGAUGGCGACCGGCGAAUGGGUGAGUCACGCGUGUCCAACCUGCCCCGUGCCCGGGCACAGCCCUUGGAAAUGAGGAUUAAGGCCCGAUAUGUGCCGUUUCCGCAUGGCGGCGGCAUGAACCGAGGCACGGGAUGGGGACGCGUCGGAUUAGCUUGACGGCGGGGCGACGGCCCACCGUGGCGACGAUCCGCAGGGGUUCUGAGAGGAAGGUCCCCCACACUGGCACUGAGACACGGGCCAGACUCCUACGGGAGGCAGCAGUGAGGAAUAUUGGUCAAUGGCCGAGAGGCUGAACCAGCCAAGUAGCGUGCAGGAUGACGGCCCUAUGGGUUGUAAACUGCUUUUGUCAGAGAAUAAAGUCGGGGACGCGUCCCUGUUUGUAUGUACCUGAAGAAUAAGGACCGGCUAAUUCCGUGCCAGCAGCCGCGGUAAUACGGAAGGUCCGGGCGUUAUCCGGAUUUAUUGGGUUUAAAGGGAGCGCAGGCCGGAUGGUAAGCGUGACGUGAAAUGUGGCGGCUCAACCGCCGAACUGCGUCGCGAACUGCCGUUCUUGAGUGCAGACGAGGUGGGCGGAAUUCGUGGUGUAGCGGUGAAAUGCUUAGAUAUCACGAAGAACUCCGAUUGCGAAGGCAGCCCACCAGGGUGUAACUGACGCUAAAGCUCGAAAGUGCGGGUAUCGAACAGGAUUAGAUACCCUGGUAGUCCGCACGGUAAACGAUGGAUGCCCCGCUGUUUGCGAUACAAUGUAAGCGGCCAAGCGAAAGCGUUAAGCAUCCCACCUGGGGAGUACGCCGGCAACGGUGAAACUCAAAGGAAUUGACGGGGGCCCGCACAAGCGGAGGAACAUGUGGUUUAAUUCGAUGAUACGCGAGGAACCUUACCCGGGCUUGAACUGCCGGCGAACGAAACAGAGAUGUUGAGGCCCUUCGGGGCGCCGGUGGAGGUGCUGCAUGGUUGUCGUCAGCUCGUGCCGUGAGGUGUCGGCUUAAGUGCCAUAACGAGCGCAACCCCUUUCGUUAGUUGCCAUCAGGUGAUGCUGGGCACUCUGGCGAUACUGCCACCGUAAGGUGUGAGGAAGGUGGGGAUGACGUCAAAUCAGCACGGCCCUUGCGUCCGGGGCUACACACGUGUUACAAUGGCGCAUACAGAGAGUUGGUUGCACGCAAGUGUGAUCUAAUCGAGAAAGUGCGUCGUAGUUCGGACUGGGGUCUGCAACCCGACCCCACGAAGCUGGAUUCGCUAGUAAUCGCGCAUCAGCCAUGGCGCGGUGAAUACGAUCCCGGGCCUUGCACACACCGCCCGUCA
rnacentral:rRNA from 1 species